rnacentral:sRNA from 1 species
GGAUGCCAGGGUGACGACAUUGUGCCAUCUCACCCCAUUGGUCACCAGGUUGAUUUGACCGAUUGGGCUGACUAGGAAGGACUCACCUUUAUCCCUCCUCAUUCCAUGUGUGGGUCCCUCCUGAACUAGCCCACUCAGCAGAGGAAAACAGCCUUCCCUGACAGAGAAAACAGCUGUUUGAACAAGCCAGGCCUGGUGGUACAAGCCUAUAGCCCACUUACUCAGGAGGUUAAGGGAGGAAGAUCAGAAAUCCAAGACUGGCCUGGGCUGUAGAAAGGAACCAGUAUU